CUGCUGCCUCCCGUAGGAGUUUGGGCCGUGUCUCAGUCCCAAUGUGGCCGUCCACUCUCCCAAGCCGGCUACUGAUCGUUGUCUUGGUAGGCCAUUACCCUGCCAACUAACUAAUCAGACGCGGGCCCAUCCUGUACCACCGGAGUUUUUCCUGCUGUACCAUGCGGUACUGUAGGCUUAUGCGGUAUUAGCAGCCGUUUCCAGCUGUUGUCCCCCUGUACAGGGCAGGUUACCCACGCGUUACUCACCCGUCCGCCA
rnacentral:rRNA from 1 species